UAAUCACACAAGCAGAUGUUCAAGGCUACUGUUGGUGGUGCUGAAAUGUAGCAAUCUCUUGACAGUUUAGUGAGCUCAUGACCAGAGGAUCUGUCUUAUGCAAAGGUCAGAGAAGGCUUCCCUGAUAAAGGAAGGUCAUCCAAGAUGUGCAAAGAGUAGCAAAAAAUUUCGGUCGCCAGGCAUAAACAUUUCCCACAGAGACUGAACUGGGGCAGUCUGUCUUCUUGUUUCAGCACUCAUAAGCAUCAGUGAGCAGCACUGCCUAGGAGAUAACAGGAAGCCGGGUUUCACAGCAGCCAUCCUAACCAACUAAUUCUGUGAUGAUUGAGAGACUGUGAGUGACCCGAUUGGCCAGACCCUUACUGAACCCAACUGACAACUGUGUCCUGAUUAAAGGGGAAUGAAAUUUGUUUUCACAAUCCCAUAUAGACCUAUAAACUUGUCCUGACCUGUCAAGAGUGCCAGUUUUCAAACUGCCAUUAGCAAACCACUGUGAAACCACCCACAAAAGCCUUACAUUUUAGGCUUUUCAUUUUAUGUUUACUAUGAAACAUUAAAGAAUGCAUGAAUAUAGAAAUGGAAAUUGGUCCCUUUUCACCGAUCACAAACUUUGUACCUCAAUUCUUAAAGUCAGGGAUGUUUAACUCAGCCAGCCACCUAGCUAGGGUCUGUAACAAACAGUUGGUUAUUUUUCACCCUUUGUCUACUCAAAAUUAAGAAAGUAAAGACGAUAAAAACAAUAUUCUACAGAAAAAAAAGACAAAUGUUAAAAAAGUAAUAAAAGAGAACUUUCUUUCAUAUUCAUGUGAGAAGGAUAGAUGUUUAGAAAUAAAGAAUAAAAUUUGUGUGAGGGAUGCCUCUUGCAUUUUAAGAAUUAGAAGAGGUGAUUGGUAAAACUGUAGACAUGGACGAGCUGGUUUUCCAAGGCACGGGAUCAGCUACAAGUACAUAGAAAAGGUCCCUCAUAUAAAAACAAUUAUGUCAAGGUGAAUUUGUGUGUAUUAUAUAUGUACUAAAUGAUGUGUACAUGCAACUGGUUGUUACAGGAAAAAGGAAAAACAGAAAAAAACUGAAAAAAUUACAUGAAAAAAAUGUAUCAAGAACCCACAGUAGUUGUAAAUAGCAUGAUACUGUUAUUGAGUACCUGAAAUCAAUUGCAGAUUGACAUGAGGAGGAGCUCAAUGUAACUUCUCCCAGAGAUGAUCACAGAACUUAAAGAGGCUGAAUUCAUAGAACAGCUUCUGUGUAGAAGUCACUCUAUAGUUCCUCCCAGAGGAGGGGACUGACUUUUCAAUUUGUCCAUUGGGCCAUGCUCGGACCACAGUACUUGAAACAGAACCUUAGGAAAAUGCAUCAUAUUUUAAUUCUGAACCAAGAGUUGGCUCAUUUUUAAAGAUACCAUGCUUAGUUUUCAUUUAUUCAGAUUUAGGUAAAGGGUUCAAUAUUCAGGUCAGGAUUUGAAAUGGGCAUCAGGAAGGUGCCCUUAGGUGAGGAAGAUUUGUGAUGUGGGCAACUUCUUGCUAAUAAAAGCCUUCAGUUCAACCUGUACUGGUUCAAGAACUUCUGAAGUUUUACAGAGGCUUGCCUGGAAUCUGGGAUGAGGGCCUGGGGUUGAGGUCAGGCAGCUUCGUGAACGGAGAAGUGUUGUGCUAAUGGGGUUGCUUGAGGGAGGACAAUGAUAUCCACCUUUUUUCAAUAUUUUGCCUAAGGCCACCCUGGCCCUGCCAUUCAAAAUCACCUUUUCUGUCAUUUUGGCGUUUGUGGUACAUUGCAGAACCCUGACUUAGGCCAGGAGGCCAUUUAGGAAAUUAUUCCUGACAUUUUGUUUUAAAUUAAUAAAAUACAUAAAAUAGGGUUCCUUGUAAUAGAUCUCACACAUCAAGCAUAAGUAGAUCGCAUUAUUUAUUUUUAAAUGACAUAUGCUGUAGCUCAGUUUUGUAGAAUUCAAGAAUAUACUUCAUCUUUUGUGUAGGUAAUUUCAUUCAAUUUCCCAGUCCCCUCUUUCAUUUUGGAGAAAUAAAAUUUGUGUUUUAUGUCUAUAUACACUCUCCAAUGGGGCAAUUCAAAAAUAAAAGUGCAUCCUUAACACUGCAUUUCUUUGCUUUUGGCCUGCACUAGAACUUUUCCCUCAUUUCAAUGUAGCUUUUGUAUGGGUGAAUGCAAUAAAAAAGGUAAUAAACUUAAUAAAUGGUUCAAUUGCAUGAGUGCACCUGUGUGUUACCUUCAUCCUCAUUAUCCAUUUCCUCAGACAUUGUCCAUUACCUCGUGUUGGUCACAGAACCCUAUUGUAAGUCUAAUACAUAGUGCAAUAAAAAUAAAUAAUCUGAGAAAAUAUUACAGUGCAAACUGAAAAUAGUUUUGUUGUAAAUUUAUGCACAUUUUUAUCCACUCUGCUAAGUACAAGGAUGCUGUCAGUGUACUGUUCUCUUUAUAUCUCCCAUAGGAGUGAGACCCAAAUCCUUAUUUCUUAUGAGCUUCAUUCAAAUAUAUAUUACAGGGGCUCCAUGCCCGUGGUUGUUUUCUCAGUAGAAUUCCUGAAAACUGAUUCAGACAAUAGUGUGUGCGUGUGUGCGCAGGUAUGUAAAAAUGUGAUGUCCGAGAUGACCCUCUAAAUCCAUGCCUACGUACUCACAGAAAAAUAGAAAAUAGUAGGUAUUUUAUUCAAGCAAUUCAGGCACUAAAUGCAUAUUUGCCCUGAUAUCUGUAGAUACGAAAAAAACUGUAUUCUGCUUGAAACUUUUGAAUAAUAGAUAUAUUUUCAAACUGAGCUGACUGUGUGAACUUCAAAUUUUUGUGGGUUUAUAAAGGGCAGAGUUUCCUAGGAUGUUUACUGCUAAAUUGCAUAUCACGUAUUGGCAUGAUAUGAAGAACGGACUCACCUCUCAUGCCUUGCUAGUUUAAAAUACUUUACAUGCUUUUAGCCAAAGAUAAUUUUAAAACCAAAUAUGCCCUCUAAUUCGUAGAUGCAAAACUGUGUUUUCCAGCUCUCUUUUACACAGGGUCUGUUGGCAGCUGCGUGAUAGUAUACUCAUUAAUAUCUUUGACAGUUCAUAGUUGUCAAUCACACCAGAUUUUCACAAGCUGCUUACAUGGCCUGAGAAAUGCACAGAAAUGAAGAGGUGAUCCCAGACUGACAGAUCAUUUCAGGUGGCUUGAGUAGACUUUAAUUGACUCUUGGUUUGCUGUCUAUACUGCUCUCCAAGGAAUGCACGAAUUAAUGAAGCUACUUAAUAAAAAUCUUGGCUAGAUCUUAUCUGUUUCUGCCACUAACCAAUAGAGCAUAUUUACACUACACAUAUUUUACAUCCAGGCAUUCAGUUUUUGGAUUGCUUGUGUAGAGAACAUGAUUUACUCCCCCUUUACAAAAUUUUAGUUCUGUUAACUAUAAACAGGACAGUGGGUAGCCAGGACAAUGAAUAACCUCUGCAAACAACGAAAAUAUAAAGACAAUGUCCACAUGUAUAGGAAAUAGCACAUACAAAGUGAAAUUUAAAGUAGGAAAUAUGUAGACAAUUUCCCAGUAAGUUCAAGUAAUCUCUAUUCUGAUUUAGAGGUAAAAACUCAUUCUAACUUUUAGGGGGAAAAUGCUUCUCUCCAACCUUCUUUUGGGAUAUUUAAAACUAUUUUAUUGGCAAUAAAAACUGCCUCUUUUGUAGGAAAAUGCAUAAUAUUUUAAUUCGGAACCAAGAUUUGGGUCAUUUUUAGAGAUACCAUGGUAGGCAUACAAGUGCAGAGUCUAGUGUACUGGUCUCUGCACUGAGUACCAAGCACACAUUAGUCCUUGCUUAUCUGUCCAACCCUACAGAGUAAAGAUCAUUGCUCUCAUUUUUCAGAUGAGGACCUUUAUACUUAGACAAAUGAAAUGACUGGACCAAGUCCAUAAAUGUAGUGGUUGGUAGACAAAGGACACAAACCCAAGCUGUUUGGAUCUCAAACUCUUGAUCUUUGCCGGGGUAUCAUGGUGCCUCCUGAAGUCUUUUCAGUCAAGGUAAAAACCAUCGGUUUCAUUUCUUGAGGGAGUGCUCUUGCUUGAAGGGUUUACCGGCCACUGCUUUUUGCUCUGUGUGGCUGCUUUGUGCCUUUCAGGUUUGAUUUCCUAUAUUUUAGUUCCUCUUCGUUUCACCAAGUUAAAGUACAGCUCUAAUUACAAUGACUACAUUACUACAUCAAUUUCUAGAUGUAAAAGGCAUCCUUAUAAAUGUUCAUAAAUACUUCUGACUUUCAAAAUAAUGCAAAGCGAUGGAACAUAGUUAAUGCUUCAUUAGCUAAAUGCUAUGCAAAAUUUGUUAUUAGGCUGUCCUGAGAACAUUUUUUGGAGCAAAUUACCUAUCAGCAUUUUAUUUGAUAACUCUAAAAUGAAUUUUCUGCAGUAAGCUAUGAUGUUGCCAAAAUAUGUAGAAAAUUUGUGCUCAACAUUAUUAAAUAUUUGAAU
rnacentral:lncRNA from 1 species